GGUGUUUCGCUUAGUCUUGGCCUUCCACACUGCGAAAACUAUCUCUCAAAUCAAACCAUUCAGUUUGGAAGCCGAAAUGAAACAGAAGAUAUCGACAAUCAUUUCAGUGGGAUUAACAUUCUGCAAGCUUCCCAUUCGAAUCCUGUGUACGAAAACAUGAACAUUCAAAACAAGAAGAGGUUUGCUGCUCAACUGUUACAAAAUUUUGUGGCAUAAUGAUUCAAGAACAGAAAGUACAAGAAUAUAGUGUCAUUUCUUAUUGCAUGGCACAUGCACCUUUUUUGUGUCACAUAGGAUAAGAUAGAAGAUAAUUAAGUUAGAAUAGGUUAUUAAACUUGUAAUAAAGUUCUGUUCAUUUGCAUGUAUGUAAUAUUUUGCAGCUGUAUAUAAGGGUGGCGAUCGCGUGUGGUACGUAGUUUAUAUGAUCAAAUGUCUGUUAUGCUUUAUAUCUGUCUUAAUUCGAUCCGUCUUUUAUUGGAGGUCUUUUUUUUGUAAAGCUUUUAAAUAGGCUCUUAAAAGGAUGCACGAUCAAAUUGUUUUAAAAAUAUUUUAAAUUGACUUUUAAAUUUUAUAAUAAUUUUUUAUUUUGAAAUCGGUCGUCAUAGGCUUUAUUAUGUGAAUUUGUCUUCCAUGUUAAUACUUUUGCUUAAUUGAAACCUGAACUUGGGGAAGGGACAACACGAAAAUUAAGGAAAACUUUUAAAAAAAGUAAAAUAAAAUUACCUUUUUCAUGAAACUCUUGCACUAUUUUUGUUAUCAAAGCAUAAGGAGUUUCUCUUGUAUUCGGACCAUGAGGAAUUGAAGCACUUAGGCAGUCAGCAGAAGUGAAGUGUCAAACAUGCCAAAUGGGUAAGGUACUUGUAAGAAUUGACUUUUGUAUUGAGACAGAAAUUGGGUGCAAAGAACAGAGUUGCAGAUGCUCUCAGUAGGAGAGUUAAUUAGUUUAUUGGCUACUUUGCGCCCUUAAGUGUUGGGUUUUGACACUUUCACCAGUUUGCUUGUUGAAG
rnacentral:lncRNA from 1 species